rnacentral:rRNA from 1 species
CUCUCAAAUUGUUUUAUGCUUGCAUAAAUGAUUUUUGGAUUCGGAGCGAGUGGCGAACUGGUGAGUAACACGUGGGUAACCUGCCCCGAAGCGGGGGAUAACAUUUGGAAACAAGUGCUAAUACCGCAUAAUUAGUUGGAACCGCAUGGUUCCAACUUGAAAGAUGGCUCUGCUAUCACUUUGGGAUGGACCCGCGCCGUAUUAGUUAGUUGGUGAGAUAAAAGCCCACCAAGACGAUGAUACGUAGCCGACCUGAGAGGGUAAUCGGCCACAUUGGGACUGAGACACGGCCCAGACUCCUACGGGAGGCAGCAGUAGGGAAUCUUCCACAAUGGACGAAAGUCUGAUGGAGCAACGCCGCGUGAGUGAUGAAGGUUUUCGGAUCGUAAAACUCUGUUGUUAAAGAAGAACAAGUGUUAGAGUAACUGUUAACACUUUGACGGUAUUUAACCAGAAAGCCACGGCUAACUACGUGCCAGCAGCCGCGGUAAUACGUAGGUGGCAAGCGUUGUCCGGAUUUAUUGGGCGUAAAGCGAGCGCAGGCGGUUUUGUAAGUCUGCUGUGAAAGCCCUCAGCUCAACUGAGGAAGUGCAGUGGAAACUACAAAACUUGAGUACAGAAGAGGAAAGUGGAACUCCAUGUGUAGCGGUGAAAUGCGUAGAUAUAUGGAAGAACACCAGUGGCGAAGGCGGCUUUCUGGUCUGUUACUGACGCUGAGGCUCGAAAGCAUGGGUAGCGAACAGGAUUAGAUACCCUGGUAGUCCAUGCCGUAAACGAUGAAUACUAGGUGUUGGAGGGUUUCCGCCCUUCAGUGCCGCAGCUAACGCAUUAAGUAUUCCGCCUGGGGAGUACGACCGCAAAGGUUGAAACUCAAAGGAAUUGACGGGGGCCCGCACAAGUGGGUGGAGCAUGUGGUUUAAUUCGAUGCUACGCGAAGAACCCUUACCAGCUCUUGGACAUCUUCUGCCAACCCAAAGAGAUUGGGGCGGUUCCCUUCGGGGACAAGAUGACAGGUGGGUGGCAUGGGUUGUCGUCAGGCUCGGUGGUCGUGGAG